ACAGAUUCUUUGAGUUUCAUAUCAAAGAGACUUGAUCUACGCUUCUUCUUAUCAGUUGAAGCCUUUCUCAGAAAAAACUUUUGAGCAUGACUAGCGACCUGGGUUGGGGUCCUAGUGGUCACAAAAUUCUUUGAAAUGCCUCUCCAAUCACCUUUCCCGAGCUUCUCCAAGCCAGCUAAGAAGGUCUGAUGUUCCUCCUCAGUCCAGGGCUUCCCCCUUUUCCUUUCCUGGAUUGCUUUGCCUCUCUUGGAACUGACAUAUCCAUCAGAGAAAGAACCAUCAUCCACAUGAUGAUGCACUGUACUAUUGUUGACUAAAGAGUCAAGAUUGCCUAAACUGGCGCUUUUCUUCAUGGGUCGUUCCUGUUUCUCCAAAAUACGAACCCCAAACAACUUUACACCUACCUUCCCAUUGCAAGUCCUGGAGUUGUGGCCAUUUUGUCCACAAUGAGAACACUUCCUCGUAGCUUCCUUCACCAUCUCUAAGCCUCACUCCUCUGGAAAGGAAAAAAAAG
rnacentral:misc_RNA from 1 species